UACGUUUACACGCUUGCCAAGCCUUCGCAAGCGGCAAACAGCUCCAAGCCUCCACAAAUCUCGUUUGGCGUUUGAAAGGAGUUUACACGCUUGGGAACGCGUCAGUCUGCAAGAUAGAUCCAAGCAUGGCGGACACCGAACUUGUAACGGCUAUUGCAUUUGGUUUAUCGUACUUUUAUUUAAAAUGCAAGCAAAGUGAAACAAAAAAAAGAAAAACUCGACGACAACGAAGAUGGUGGAUGAAAAAGAUUCAUCGAAAUCGUACCAGACAAUUUAUAGAAGAGAAAUUUAAUGAACUUUUAUAUGAACCUUCUGGCGAGUUUGAUAACUUCUGCCGAAUGAGCUAUACCGAUUUUGAAUUUUUACUGCAGAAAAUUUCACCAAUGAUAUCCAAGCAAGAUACAGACUUCAGAGAUGCUAUACCGGCCAAAUUUCGUCUUGCCAUUACGCUACGAUUUUUAGCAUCUGGUGAUUCUUACAAAAGCCUUCACUACAUGUUUAAAGUAUCUGUCUCUAUGAUAUCAAUAACCAUUCGUGAAGUUUGCCGAUCUCUUAAUGAAAUUCUAAAGGAUCUAGUUAAGAUGCCCACCACAGCAGAAGGAUGGCUUAAUAUUGAAGAAGGAUUCAGGACCAAAUUUCCACAUUGCAUAGGGUCAUUGGAUGGCAAGCAUGUAGUCAUUGAAAGCCCAACUCAUAGUGGAACAGAAUAUUUCAAUUAUAAAAAAACUUUUAGCAUUGUCCUUUUGGCGUUAGUGGAUAGCAAAUACAAAUUUGUAUUUGCAGACAUCGGGAGUCAAGGAAGAAUAAGUGACGGUGGCGUGUUUAAUAAUUGUUUACUAUGGAAAAGAAUAUGUAGGAACGAGAUAGAUUUUCCACCGCCAUGUCCACUUCCAGGAUCGAAUAUUAAUAUUCCAUACGUGUUUUUAGCUGACGGUGCUUUUGCAUUGAGUCAACACGUAAUGAAGCCCUACCCUGGAAACCAUGAAGUAGGCUCACCAAAAAGGCUAUUUAACCAAAACUUAUCUAAAUCCCGAGUUGUAGUUGAAAAUACGUUUGGAAUUUUAACCUCGGUUUUUAGAAUAUUCAGACGUCCUAUCGAUUUAGAACCACAAACUGUGACAGAAUUUACGAUGACUUGUGUAUUACUACAUAACUUUUUGAGAACAAGUAAAAGUUCUUCAAAUCGAUAUAUUCCUCAGGGUUCGUUAGACGUAUAUGACAGUAGUGGAAAUAUGGUUACACCUGGUUCAUGGCGCAGAGAUAACGACGGAUAUAAUGCAUUGCAAACAUUACCACAAAUACCACGAAGAUCUCCGCUGAAUGCCAAAGAAGUCAGAGAAGAAUUUACUUCAUAUUUUAAUAGGAUUGGAUAAGUUGAUAAAAAUGUAUAAAUAAAUUUAUAAUAAGUAA